AACUGAAACGGAUGUUUUCGCAACUCGAAGAACAAAGCCCUCGACCGACGAAGUGAAAAGCGAAGUGAAUCUGGUGUAAAUCAUAGCUCCACAGAUAACAUAACCUAGUCAACCCAUUUUGGACAUCAACGUAAAUUUCUACGAAAGCCUCAACAUGUGCGAUCCGUGCUGCAGUUCCUACGAUCUUUGCUACUCCUACUAUCCUUACUCCCGCUAUUACUCCUGUUCUUCGUGCCAUCGAUGCUCGUUAUCAUGCUGCACGAAGCACCAUCAUCGCUAUUGCUACCUGUGCUUCCGUUAUCAUCACUAAGAUGUGACCUUGAACUAGUUUCUAGCUUUUUCCCCGGCACCUUUUAAGUUCCACCGUCGCCAAUUUCCAUUUGCUAUGUUCCAAGUCCACCCAUCCUCGUUAUCCUGUAGACCCCGCGUAAAACGAAUGGCGAUCGAUGUAAAAAUCGGAAUUCGGUUCUACAUCGUUGUUUAUACUCCACAACACAUUCGAACGCACUACUGUUUUCCGAUGAUGUCGCAGAAAGUAUUGCGGAUUGCGUGCGUGACCUCGGACGUGCAGACUCGGUGGUAGAUACGGUUGUCUACCAACUCCGUAGCUCUUGCCAACGUUCGCGGAAGGUCGUUGUACCGCUGGUCGCAAGUUAAGGGAAGCUCCAAAGGAAGAGGGUCGAGCAGCGCGAAGCAUACUUAUGCUCGGAUGGGGUAACAGAGAUCGAUACUAUUUUGUAAACACUGCGACUAGUGUGACUGAAAUAGCAUUUGCAUCACAAUUGAUACCGCCCGAAACUCUCCUGUUAGUCUUCCUCUUUUAUUAUUUUACCAAAUUUAUUGGCGAUGGUGUCCCAGUUUCCUCGACGACAAACUCAUAGUUCAUCCACCAACCAAACAUUCCACUCACCCCUGCCUCAUGUAACAUGCUUUCUUCCUGAGUCACCUGUUCAGUACAAUCCAUAGGCGCACAGGAUGGUGAACAUCAGCGAAAAAACACGUCAUUCAAACAACAUCCAAGCAUCGAAAGUUUAUAAGCCGCAAUUCGCUUGAAGCAGAAAGUUUGUUGCCAGAAAAAUACGCUUAAAGUCAUGGUAAUCAAACGUCUAGACCAUUUGUAUAGCGGUGCUUCUUCUUACACUAGUCUUAAUCAGCCACGUUUCUCGAAUCUACCUGUUGGAUUCACGUCUGUUAGAUUAUUCAGAGUUUAGUAAUAGAGCGCCAGCAUAGCAGAGCGGCUUUAUAUCAAGAUGAAAUAUAAUUCAAUG